rnacentral:rRNA from 1 species
UGAGGAAUAUUGGUCAAUGGGCGAGAGCCUGAACCAGCCAAGUAGCGUGCAGGAUGACGGCCCUAUGGGAUGUAAACUGCUUUUAUGUGGGGAUAAAGUGCGUGACGUGUCAUGCAUUGCAGGUACCACAUGAAUAAGGACCGGCUAAUUCCGUGCCAGCAGCCGCGGUAAUACGGAAGGUCCGGGCGUUAUCCGGAUUUAUUGGGUUUAAAGGGAGCGUAGGCUGUCUAUUAAGCGUGUUGUGAAAUUUACCGGCUCAACCGGUGGCUUGCAGCGCGAACUGGUCGACUUGAGUAUGCAGGAAGUAGGCGGAAUUCAUGGUGUAGCGGUGAAAUGCUUAGAUAUCAUGACGAACUCCGAUUGCGCAGGCAGCUUACUGUAGCAUAACUGACGCUGAUGCUCGAAAGUGCGGGUAUCAAACAGG